rnacentral:rRNA from 1 species
AAUAUUGGACAAUGGGCGAAAGCCUGAUCCAGCCAUGCCGCGUGUGUGAAGAAUGNCUNNGGAUUNUNAAGUACUUUAAGUUGNNNNNAAGGGCAGUAAGUUAAUCCCUCGCUGUUUUGACGUUACCGACAGAAUAAGUACCGGCUAACUUCGAGCUAGCAGCCGCGGUAAUACGAAAGGUGCAAGCGUUAAUCGGAAAUACUGGGCGUAAAGCGAGCGUAGGUGGUUCGUUAAGUUGGAAGUAAAAGCCCCGGGCUUAACCUGGGAAUUGCUUUCAAAACUGACGAGCUAGAGUACGGUAGAGGGUAGUGGAAUUUCCUGUGUAGCGGUGAAAUGCGUAGAUAUAGGAAGGAACAUCAGUGGCGAAGGCGACUACCUGGACUGAUACUGACACUGAGGUGCGAAAGCGUGGGGAGCAAACAGG